CUUAAGUUUGACAAGACUACAAAAUCUAAAACACCCGAAAAUUAAAGAAAAAAUAUAAUAUGAAAACCAUACUUGACAUUGAUGCCACCAUAGAAACCACCAAGCAAAAGGUAUGUGCUAAAGCUGCCUACAUAGCAAUGUUUGAAAAGC